rnacentral:lncRNA from 1 species
UUUAAUACACAAUUAAACAGUUUAAUACAUAAUAUAGUAAUUGCCUUGAUCCAUAACCAAAGAUCCUCACAGCACAGAACCAUAACAGGACAGCAUAUAGUUCCAUAGCAAAUAUAAGCAACAAUGAACAAAGUUCCAUAGCAUAUAGUCCCAGGACAAAGUUCCAUAGCAUACAAGAUUGAAUGGUGACUGUCACGUUUUGGCACAAGAACAAAUAACGUGCUUGAAAUCAUCAAUAUGCCAAACAGACAAAAGAACCACCAACCAUACUCGAUCUCAUACAUUCGGAGAACCACCAAGGUUGUUGUCGCUUGGGCCUCGUGCAUGUGAAGAUCCAUCAGUAUUAGAUCCAUGGCCUGAUUGAUGAGGCAUCGUCAUAGCGGGCAUACCAUUCUGGGUACAAUAAGCCUGCAAAUUAUGUUUGAGUGAAGAUUAAGUACUGGUGGUAGAAGAGUUCAUGUAUGUCUUUGGCAAUUAAGGAACUAACCGCAAACAUUGCAAAGCAUUGACUAGUUUGUGCCAACACCGCCUGCUGCACCGCCUGCUGCACCGCUUGCUGCGUCCUCUCAUCAGCCAGUCGCCUCUCCUCCGCCCUCUCCUCUGCCGCCACUCGCCUCAACUCCGCCAGUCGGGCCUGCAAAAUAUGGCAUGGCAAUCGCAUCUUCAAUCCAACAGUAAGUAAGAAACAAACAUAUAUAGAAGGACUUGUCUAGAAUACCUCCGUCUCAACCAUAGCUGGAGUCGAGCGUUUACAUGUAGAAGAUUUUGAGAUACCUAACCGAGCUUUGUAUUCAGGGAGAGAGCUACGGGAGGAACUAGGGAAC